GAUGAAGAACGCAGCGAAAUGCGAUAAGUAAUGUGAAUUGCAGAAUUCAGUGAAUCAUCGAAUCUUUGAACGCACCUUGCGCCCUUUGGACAUUCCGAAGGGCAUGCCUGUUUGAGUAUCAUGAACACCUCAACUCUCACGGCUUGUCCGUGAUGAGCUUGGACUUUGGGGGUCUUGCCGGCCUGUGGUCGGCUCCUCUCAAAUGGAUCAGCUUGCCAGUGUUUGGUGGCAUCACAGGUGUGAUAACUAUCUGCGCUUGUGGUUUUCCAUCAGAUAACCUUCAGUGAUAUGGAGGUUCGCUGGAGCUCACAAAUGGCUCUCCUUAGUGAGGACAGCUCUUUGAACGUUUGAUCUCAAAUCAGGUAGGACUACCCGCUGAACUUAAGCAUAUCAAUAAGCGGAGGA
rnacentral:misc_RNA from 1 species